rnacentral:snoRNA from 1 species
GUUUGAAUGAGCUCCUAUCGUUGUAGGAUAUAAUAAUACAAGAGUUACAUAUUAAAGGGGAUUAGUUUCUCUUAUUUCGCAUUUUGAUAGGAUCCUGUGGAUCUCAAUUUUCCAUUAGUCCACAGAACCGGUUUUUGCGAUUACACUC